ACUCAAUCGAAUUGGACUAAACCCCAAAGGUAAGAAUAUUGCAAACUCAUUGCACUAUUUGGCUUGUUUUACGACAGAAGGGGGAUGAAUUUACUUGCAUGAUUUUGUUUGUACAACUCGUUUUAAAACAAUGUGACAUGAAUAAUGAAAUUGAAAUUCUGGCGAAAACUCCUAAACAAGGAAAUCAUAUGGGUAGCAUAAAUUAGAUACAUUGAGAGCCAACUUAAAGAACGUAUGCACAGGGAACUUAUGCAUGCCAAGUGUUUGUAAAUUUGACUCAAUAGACGAAUUAAAUGACUUAGAAUAUUUACAGGUAUAUAAAAUAACAGGGAGAGUGUGAAGGUAAUUGUUACUUGCUUUUUUUUUUAUUCUUGUUGCAGAAUAGCAGUGACACCGUAUAGUUUAAACUGUAUUACCGACCGUGUAUGGACGCUUACAUCACAGUAGACAAAGAUAAAAGUUAAGUAAAGCGAGUUACACUAAUGAAAUAGGGAGUACAACACUGCAAUGCCUGACUCACAAUGCGUACAUUUAUGACUAUAAACCGUAACUGUCAUCUAACAACAUGUAUAUUAUCGGAAACCUAUUGUGCACAAUUGUGACACUAUGUGACCAUCACUCACAUAUAUGAUUUUGUCAUAGAUUUCAGCAUCCGAAAAGUCUAACUAAACAAGGAUUAGGAUGGCUUGACAACAUCAAGAAGGUACACUUGUUGCAAGGUAUCCCAUAACAUGAUUACAAUAAUAUUUGCCUACUCGUAAUUGCUUUUAAAGUAUGGUGUAACUUGUUGCAUGGUAUAAAUUUUACUACUUGUAAUUGCUUUUAAAGUAUGGUGAAAAUUUUGAUAACUUGUAAGAUUUUGCCUAGACAACGUAUGUGAUGUACACCAUGUUUAUUGGAACAUAUAGCAUGUUAGUCAUUAAUAACAUUUAUAUCAGAUGUUUUUAUUAGAUGGUUAUUUGUUCCAAUUGUCUAUGAAAUUGACAAUUAGUGCUUAUGAGAGUGCAUUAAAUUAGAUAGAUAGUUUACUUCAAUGAAUGGCCAGUACAUACAUACUUAGUGAAUGUACAAUCUGGUUGAAAUAAUGUACACCGUGUAACCGACCAAAUACAAUGUGUACAAAUUUUUGAAUAUGCGGUUAGUUGUCCACAUGCAUAUUGCAAUUAGCCGUUGCAGCCACAACUUGUACUGAUUUUUAGUAAAUUUUUUUACUUGUAUGAGUAGUACUGAUUUGUCUGUAAACACUUUAUACAGUGUGAUGUAUAAAUACAAUUAGUUUACGAAAAUGUACAUCAUCUUAGGUAUUAGUUAUUUAAAUGUAUAUAUCUAUAAAAGAUAGUACAAUGGUAUGCAUACCUUUGGAAAUGUUAUUGGUGUUUCGACCAACUUAGGCAUCUCCUUACAAGCUGCAGUAGAUGUGUAAUAUUACUUGUAUGAGUAAUACUAAUUUGCCUAUAAGUACCUUAUACUGGGUAAUCUAAAAGGUACAAUCAGUUUAUAAAAAUGUACAUCAUGUUAGGUAUUAGUUACUUGACUGUGUAUAUCUGUGAAAGGUACUGCAAUGGUAUCUAUAACUUUGAAAUGGUUAUUAGCCUAGAUAAGGUGUGUGAUGUACACCAUAUUUAUCAGAAUGUACAAUAUGUUAUUCAUCAAUACGAUGCAUAGAAAUUGUUAAAUAUACAGUUAUUUGUUCACAUGCAUAUUGCAAUUAGUCAUCACAGCAAUAUGCAUAGUGCAAUGGUAUGCAUACAUUUGGAAUGGUUAUUGAUGUUUUGACCCACUUGUGCAUCUCCUUGCAGGCUGCAGUGCGCGUGUAAUUUUAUCUAGGUGAAUAAUACUAAUUUGCUUAUAAACACCUUACACAGGGUGAUCUAUGAGGUACAAUCAGUUUACAAAAAUGUACAUUAUGUUAGAUGUUAGUUACUUCAAUGCGUAUAUCUAUAAAAGAUAGUGCAAUUGUAUACAUAAAUUUGAAGCAGUUAUUUAGCCAUUUGAUCAAUUUGUACAUCUUCCUAUAGUAGAUGUGUAAUUUUACUUGUAUGAAUACUCUUUGUUUGUCUGUGAGUAUCUUACACAAGGUGAUCUACGAGAUACAAUCAGUUUACAAAAAUGUACAUCAUGUUAGGUGUUAGUUACUUGACUAUGUAUAUAUAUAAAAGAGAGAUUAGAUAUAACGCAGAAAAAAGUAAUUACAUGAGUUGGAAUGUAUUAUACAAACUUUGGUAUAGUUGAUAUUAAAAUUUCUCUGUUGAGGGUACACGUUGUUAGUGGAUAUGGAGUAGUGCUAUAUGUUAUGUACGCUUACAUGGUCAUAAAUUUACAGAAGUUAGUCCAUUGUUUAAAUUUGUAAUUGGUUGUUAGCCCUUACACACUGUCACAUGCAUACACAUAAUGUAAGAAUGAAUUUAAUAUAUAGUUGUUAAUUGGUUACAUAGAGUUCAUAUAGGCAUACAAAUUGGGGUUUGAUUAGCUAUACUCUGUAUAUAAUUGUUAACACAUUAUAUCGUAUUCACCUUAUUUUGCAGCAUGUCAUGGGCAAAGAUAGCGUCUUUUGACAAAUUAAUGGAUAUCAAUCAAUACUGGUGAAGCAAAGACAUUAGGUAUGUUUAGCCUAUUUUACGAUAUGUUUAAGGAAAUAAAGAUUUUUAUUUCACAAAUUGGUGAAAAUUAGUUACAUUUGGGGUGUGUUUGUUUGAAUGUAAAAUGUUUUCCUGAAAAUGUUUUCCAAAUUUUCCUGUGUUUGGUAAUCAUUUUAUCUUGGAAAAAGAUUUAUGCGGGGAAUAUAUUUUACUUCACUUGGUGGAAAAUAACUUCAUCUUUUGACUUACUGAAGUUAUUUUCCUUCAUUAAAACGAGCGGCUCUUGCACUUCACAAUAGAGCUCCCUACCCACAUUCUAACAAAAACAAACAAAGACUUUGCGGCUAAAGAUACAGAGAGUGGGCAAUGAAGAUUGGAGAGACUCAGAAAUCACCAACAAUAUGAUCAUUUCUGAUGGCAGCCAUCUCCAACUCUGGCAAGGUGCCUUGGGUGAGAUUCUUAUUUAGGGCUUUGUCUUGAAUAUCUUUUUAUUUUUUCCAAAAAAAUCUGAUAAAAUCGGUUGUUCCAAUCUAGGAUUCUAUCGAUUUUUUUUAAAUUUUGUUGCUAUAAUUCUUGAGAAUUGUGGCACUAGUUUCACAGAGGAAUUUGGAUUUUUUUUUAAAGAUGUUUCUUUUAUCUUUAGUUUUCAGUUUUCUUUUUCUAUAAUUAUAUGAAGCUCUAGGAAUUCUGGUAAAAUUUAUUGCUCCACUCCCAUUUUCUGACGAUUCUUAUUGAGGUAAGGGCUUGAGCUUGCAUGAUUGUUUUUGUAUCAAUUGAUUGAUAGAUUAAGAAACUUCAGUAGUUUUUUUGUAAAUUAUCAAUCAAUUGGUGUCCUUAGAGUUUGAUUUUGUCUUUCUAUUGAGAAAUUUGUUGUUAAAUGUAUAUGGCUGUUAUUGAUUUCUCUGAGCGAUAUGAAUACUGAAUGUUGGGAUUUCUUGUCUAGAGAAUUUAAAUUUUAGGAUUUAUGUUUUGGGAUUGGGGUAAAGGUUAAGUUGUUAAGACGUUCGCAAGGUGAGGUUCUCUAGUAUCUUAAAUAUUCAUUCAGUUGCGCAUAUACUCUUCUGGGAUUAGGGAGAAGAAAGAAGAGAAAGGAGAGAGCGUGUGUGUCGAAAGGUAAACAAUAGAAAGGAAUGAAAUGCUCAUCAUUUUGAGUCAAAUCAAAGAGUUUGUUUUCUUUUCUAAUCAUCUAGAUACUUCUGUUUUCCUUUCUUUAUGGCCACUGUGUUAGUGCUUCAUUUUUGCGCAUCUUGCAUAUGCAUUACUUAUUUAUUUUAAAUUGUGAAUGAAACAAUCAAGUGAAGAUUAAGUUUGUGUGCUAAUAUUAUGUUACUCUGAUGCUUUUUCCCCUUGUUUUAAUUUUGUAGAGACAUACAUAAAUAGUGGAUUAUCCUAAAAGAGACUGCAAUGGAAUUUUGCCGGACUUGUGGGAUGUUAUUGCAGUAUGAAUUGCCGCAUAUGGACCGCCCUGCCAGAUUCUUUUGUCCAACAUGCCCAUAUGUAUGUCACAUAGAUAGUAAGGUAAGUCAUUAUAAAUCCUUGUUGAGGGUUUAUUUACUGGCUAUUCACAAUGUCCAUUGUGUCAUUGCUAAGUUAUCAACGCAUGUGGCAGGUUAAAAUAAAAAGAAAGCAUCAGUUAGUUAAGAAAGAACUAGAUCCUAUCACGUAUUAAGAUAUUUAUUUUUCCUGUUGUGUUUCAGCAUCACCUUGGAGGUGAUCUACAAGUGGAAAAAAGGAGGGCUGACUGAGUACCUUGCCACUUGCCUUGGCCUUGGGAAUUUGUAGGUGCAGGCCAACUGGAUUUGUUCAAAGCUCUGGUCACUAAAUUUUUUCCUGUAAAACGUUCACAUGAACAUUGGUGACGUGUUGUAUAGAUGUUUCCUUUUGUA
rnacentral:lncRNA from 1 species